rnacentral:rRNA from 1 species
CCUACGGGAGGCAGCAGUGAGGAAUAUUGGUCAAUGGCCGGAAGGCUGAACCAGCCAUGCCGCGUGAAGGAUGACUGCCCUAUGGGUUGUAAACUUCUUUUAUAAAGGAAUAAAACGAGGCACGUGUGCCUUUUUGCAUGUACUUUAUGAAUAAGGAUCGGCUAACUCCGUGCCAGCAGCCGCGGUAAUACGGAGGAUCCGAGCGUUAUCCGGAUUUAUUGGGUUUAAAGGGAGCGUAGGUGGAUUGUUAAGUCAGUUGUGAAAGUUUGCGGCUCAACCGUAAAAUUGCAGUUGAAACUGGCAGUCUUGAGUACAGUAGAGGUGGGCGGAAUUCGUGGUGUAGCGGUGAAAUGCUUAGAUAUCACGAAGAACUCCGAUUGCGAAGGCAGUUCACUGGACUGCAACUGACACUGAGGCUCGAAAGUGUGGGUAUCAAACAGGAUUAGAUACCCCAGUAGUC